rnacentral:piRNA from 1 species
UGCUUAUUUCCUGUGGUAAGGGUCCUGC